GAUGAACGCUGGCGGCGUGCCUAAUACAUGCAAGUCGAGCGAACAGACGAGGAGCUUGCUCCUCUGACGUUAGCGGCGGACGGGUGAGUAACACGUGGAUAACCUACCUAUAAGACUGGGAUAACUUCGGGAAACCGGAGCUAAUACCGGAUAACAUGUUGAACCGCAUGGUUCAACAGUGAAAGACGGUCUUGCUGUCACUUAUAGAUGGAUCCGCGCCGCAUUAGCUAGUUGGUAAGGUAACGGCUUACCAAGGCAACGAUGCGUAGCCGACCUGAGAGGGGGGUAGGCCGCACUGGAGCUGAGGCACGGUCCCGACUCCUCCGGGAGGCAGCAGUAGGGAAUCUUCCGGAAUGGGGGAAAGCCGGACGGAGCAACGCCGCGUGAGUGAAGAAGGUCUUCGGAGCGUAAAAAUCUGUUAUUGGGGAAGAACAAAUGUGUAAGUAACUAUGCACGUCUUGACGGUACCUAGUCAGAAAGCCACGGCUAACUACGUG
rnacentral:rRNA from 1 species